UGCGGAGCGCGUGUUUCAUCACGAUUUUCGGGAAGCUCACGCCUUUGAGGCGGGCGGUUCGAAUGUAUUGCGCCGUCAUGACUUCGGUCAUCGAGGCGCGGGUCAUGCGGGCAAUAUACCCCAUGCCGUAAGCCGCGAUGGUGAUGACGGGCAGGGUGAAAUUGGCGAAGGUCGCCUGU
rnacentral:ncRNA from 1 species